AAACUUAAAGGAAUUGACGGAAGGGCACCACCAGGAGUGGAGCCUGUGGCUUAAUUUGACUCAACACGGGAAAUCUCACCAGGCCCGGACACUGGAAGGAUUGACAGAUUGAUAGCUCUUUCUUAAUGAAGUGGAUGGUGGUGCAUGGCCGUUCUUAGUUGGUGGAGUGAUCUGUCUGGUUAAUUCCGAUAACGAACGAGACUCUCCCCUGCUAACGGACCUUAGUGUUUUUCUAGACGGUGUGAUUCGGAGCAAGAGUCCAUGGGCGUAAGCCCCGGUCUCGGACGAUGUCCACUGAUCCUUGGUGCGUUGGUGUUCCGCGUGCCAUCGGAGAGUCGAGUGUUCGCAUUCUUCGCCUCUGUGGAUUUCUCGGUUCAUUGACAAAGCGCCUCGGAGUACGUUUCUUCUUAGAGGGAUUGACGACUUAUAAGUCGUAAGAAACAGGGAGCAAUAACAGGUCUGUGAUGCCCUUAG
rnacentral:rRNA from 1 species